rnacentral:rRNA from 1 species
GACGAACGCUGGCUGCGUGCUUAACACAUGCAAGUGGAGCGACGAACCAGGGCUUGCCCUGGGGCAGAGCCGCGAACGGGUGAGUAACACGUGGGUUACCUGCCUCGAUGACCGGGACAACCCGAGGAAACUCGGGCUAAUACCGGAUGUGCCCGCAAGGGGAAAGGAAGCUUCGGCCUCCGCAUCGAGAUGGGCCCGCGGCCCAUUAGCUUGUUGGUGAGGUAACGGCUCACCAAGGCUUCGAUGGGUA